rnacentral:rRNA from 1 species
UGGGGAAUUUUGCACAAUGGGGGAAACCCUGAUGCAGCGACGCCGCGGGAUUUAGAAGGCCGUCGGGUUGUAAAAAUCUUUUCUAUGGGAAGAAAAUGACAGUACCAUAGGAAUAAGGACCGGCUAAUUACGUGCCAGCAGCCGCGGUAAUACGUAAGGUCCGAGCGUUGUCCGGAAUCAUUGGGCGUAAAGGGUACGUAGGCGGGUAAGCAAGUUAGAAGUGAAAUCCUGUAGCUCAACUACAGUAAGCUUUUAAAACUGCUCAUCUUGAGAUAUGGAAGGGAAAGUGGAAUUCCUAGUGUAGCGGUGAAAUGCGCAGAUAUUAGGAGGAAUACCGGUGGCGACGGCGACUUUCUGGCCAUAAUCUGACGCUGUGGUACGAAAGCGUGGGUAGCAAACAGG